CGAACGCUGGCGGCGUGCCUAAUACAUGCAAGUUGAGCGCUGAAGGUUGGUACUUGUACCAACUGGAUGAGCAGCGAAGGGGUGAGUAACGCGUGGGGAAUCUGCCUUUGAGCGGGGGACAACAUUUGGAAACGAAUGCUAAUACCGCAUAAAAACUUUAAACACAAGUUUUAAGUUUGAAAGAUGCAAUUGCAUCACUCAAAGAUGAUCCCGCGUUGUAUUAGCUAGUUGGUGAGGUAAAGGCUCACCAAGGCGAUGAUACAUAGCCGACCUGAGAGGGUGAUCGGCCACAUUGGGACUGAGACACGGCCCAAACUCCUACGGGAGGCAGCAGUAGGGAAUCUUCGGCAAUGGACGAAAGUCUGACCGAGCAACGCCGCGUGAGUGAAGAAGGUUUUCGGAUCGUAAAACUCUGUUGGUAGAGAAGAACGUUGGUGAGAGUGGAAAGCUCAUCAAGUGACGGUAACUACCCAGAAAGGGACGGCUAACUACGUG
rnacentral:rRNA from 1 species